rnacentral:rRNA from 1 species
GACGAACGCUGGCGGCGUUCCUAAUACAUGCAAGUUGAGCGCUGAAGGUUGGUACUUGUACCAACUGGAUGAGCAGCGAACGGGUGAGUAACGCGUGGGGAAUCUGCCUUUGAGCGGGGGACAACAUUUGGAAACGAAUGCUAAUACCGCAUAAAAACUUUAAACACAAGUUUUAAGUUUGAAAGAUGCAAUUGCAUCACUCAAAGAUGAUCCCGCGUUGUAUUAGCUAGUUGGUGAGGUAAAGGCUCACCAAGGCGAUGAUACAUAGCCGACCUGAGAGGGUGAUCGGCCACAUUGGGACUGGGACACGGCCCAAACUCCUACGGGAAGCAGCAGUAGGGAAUCUUCGGCCAUGGACGAAAGUCUGACCGAGCAACGCCGCGGGAGUGAAGAAGGUUUUCGGGUCGUAAAACUCUGUUGGUAGAGAAGAACGUUGGUGAGAGUGGAAAGCUCAUCAAGUGACGGUAACUACCCAGAAAGGGACGGCUAACUACGUG